rnacentral:rRNA from 1 species
AAUAUUGGACAAUGGGGGCAACCCUGAUCCAGCCAUGCCGCGUGAGUGAUGAAGGCCUUAGGGUUGUAAAGCCCUUUCAGUGGGGAAGAUAAUGACGGUACCCACACAAGAAGCCCCGGCCAACUUCGUGCCAGCAGACGCGGUAAUACGAAGGGGGCCAGCGUUGUUCGGAUUUACUGGGCGUAAAGCGAACGUGGGGGGAUUGGUCAGUUAGGGGUGAAAUCCCGGGGCUCAACUCCGGAACUGCCUUUAAUACUGCCAGUCUAGAGUCCGAGAGAGGUGAGUGGAACUCCUAGUGUAGAGGUGGAAUUCGUAAAUAUUAGGAAGAACACCAGUGGCGAAGGCGGCUCACUGGCUCGGUACUGACGCUGAGGUGCGAAAGCGUGGGGAGCAAACA